rnacentral:tRNA from 2 species
GUCCGGGUGGCGGAAUAGGCAGACGCGCUAGCUUGAGGUGCUAGUGCCCUUCACAGGGCAUGGGGGUUCAAGUCCCCCCUCGGACACCA